rnacentral:rRNA from 1 species
CCUACGGGUGGCUGCAGUGAGGAAUAUUGGUCAAUGGGCGGAAGCCUGAACCAGCCAAAUCGCGUGAGGGAAUAAGGCCCUACGGGUCGUAAACCUCUUUUGUCGGGGAGAAAGGGCGGGGACGUGUCCCGGCCCGGAGAGUACCCGGAGAAACAGCAUCGGCUAACUCCGUGCCAGCAGCCGCGGUAACACGUAGGAUGCGAGCGUUAUCCGGAUUGAUUGGGUUUAAAGGGUGCGUAGGCGGGCUGUUAAGUCAGCGGUAAAAAUUCGGGGCUAAACGCCGUCCGGCCGUUGAUACGGGGGGCCUUGAGUGGGCGAGAAGAAGGCGGAAGGCGUGGUGUAGCGGUGAAAUGCAUAGAUAUCACGCAGAACCCCGAUGGCGAAGGCAGCCUUCCGGCGCCCUACUGACGCUGAGGCACGAAAGUGCGGGGAGCGAACAGGAUUAGAUACCCUUGUAGUC